rnacentral:rRNA from 1 species
GACGAACGCUGGCGGCGUGCCUAAUACAUGCAAGUCGAGCGAAUGGAUGGGAGCUUGCUCCCUGAAGUUAGCGGCGGACGGGUGAGUAACACGUGGGCAACCUGCCUAUAAGACUGGGAUAACUUCGGGAAACCGGAGCUAAUACCGGAUACGUUCUUUUCUCGCAUGAGAGAAGAUGGAAAGACGGUUUACGCUGUCACUUAUAGAUGGGCCCGCGGCGCAUUAGCUAGUUGGUGAGGUAAUGGCUCACCAAGGCGACGAUGCGUAGCCGACCUGAGAGGGUGAUCGGCCACKCUGGGACUGAGACACGGCCCAGACUCCUACGGGAGGCAGCAGUAGGGAAUCUUCCGCAAUGGACGAAAGUCUGACGGAGCAACGCCGCGUGA